GAGCGCAACCCCUCGCUGCCAGUUGCCAACGGGUAGAGCCGGGCGACUCUGGCGGGACGUGCCAUCGACAAGGAUGGAGGAAGGUGGGGAGUGACGUCAAGUCAUCAUGGCCCUUAUGUCCAGGGCGACACACGUGCUACAAUGGCCGGCACAGCGGGAAGCGAGGCAGUGAUGCCAAGCGGAUCCCUUAAAGCCGGUCUCAGUUCGGAUUGAAGUCUGCAACUCGACUUCAUGAAGCUGGAAUCGCUAGUAAUCGCAGAUCAGCCAAGCUGCGGUGAAUACGUUCCCGGGCCUU
rnacentral:rRNA from 1 species